rnacentral:rRNA from 1 species
UACGGAGGGUGCAAGCGUUGUUCGGAAUUAUUGGGCGUAAAGGGCGCGUAGGCGGUAAUGUAAGUCAGAUGUGAAAUACUCCGGCUCAACCAGAGAACAGCAUCUGAAACUGCAUAACUAGAGUACAGAAGAGGGAAACGGAAUUCCCGGUGUAGAGGUGAAAUUCGUAGAUAUCGGGAGGAACACCAGUGGCGAAGGCGGUUUCCUGGUCUGAUACUGACGCUGAGGCGCGAAAGCGUGGGGAGCAAACAGGAUUAGAUGCCCCUGUAGU